rnacentral:rRNA from 1 species
GAUGAACGCUGGCGGCGUGCCUAAUACAUGCAAGUCGAGCGAACAGACGAGGAGCUUGCUCCUCUGACGUUAGCGGCGGACGGGUGAGUAACACGUGGAUAACCUACCUAUAAGACUGGGAUAACUUCGGGAAACCGGAGCUAAUACCGGAUAAUAUAUUGAACCGCAUGGUUCAAUAGGGAAAGACGGUUUUGCUGUCACUUAUAGAUGGAUCCGCGCCGCAUUAGCUAGUUGGUAAGGUAACGGCUUACCAAGGCAACGAUGCGUAGCCGACCUGAGAGGGUGAUCGGCCACACUGGAACUGAGACACGGUCCAGACUCCUACGGGAGGCAGCAGUAGGGAAUCUUCCGCAAUGGGCGAAAGCCUGACGGAGCAACGCCGCGUGAGUGAUGAAGGUCUUCGGAUCGUAAAACUCUGUUAUUAGGGAAGAACAGAUGUGUAAGUAACUAUGCACGUCUUGACGGUACCUAAUCAGAAAGCCACGGCUAACUACGUG